AUUCAUUCACAAGAUUGUUGUUUAGACCAGAAUUCAAAUUUGGGUUUAUGAAUUCAUUCUCUAAAUUAUUCAUAUAUGGUCGAGAAAUCUGCUCCCAUUCAGUCUCUUGAAGGAACGUGGCUGCAUCUUGAUAAAGGUCAAGCUCACUCAACCCGUCAAUAAGUAAACAAAUUUUAAUCAGUCAAAAUGGAAACUAAUUAAUUUUUACUAAAAUCGCUCUCUUACUUUUUCAUAAAUCCAAGACAUCCAAACAUAUUCAGAAGUAAAAAAUUAUUUAAGGUACUUUUAAGCUUAGUCAAACAUGCCCACGCCCUUUGUUACACUUUGAUGAUAGAAUCAUGGUCAUUUUCAAUCCACUGUGUAUGACAUGAUGCAUUAAUGGCAUGUUUGGUAAUGUUGCAAUGUAGUUGACAAAAAAUUAGACUGCCACAUCACCUUUUCCAUUAGUCAAUUCAAUCGACAUAACAAAACUUAAGUUCAAUGACCAACUUAAAACAAAAUGAAAUUAACAUGAAAUUUUGCUAAAAAUUUAGUCACCGCCAAUGCAUUUAGGCGAUUGACUGGUCAUUAUUUUGAUACUAAUGAAGUACCAAAUCAAAACUUAGUAUUUACAUAUAAGUAUAGAUAGCUACAUAUCAACCAUUUAUUCUUACAGAUGUUCCAAUCAGCACCCAUAAGAUGGCGCAUAAUACUCCAAGCAAAGAAAAACACAAAAUACUUAUCGGUUUGCUUGAGCUUCUUGAAGUUGCAGAGGUAUUAUUACCUGUAGCAACGUUAGCGUUUCCAGCGUUCAACCUUAUCCUACGGAAGCUAGAAAUUCGCUCAAAAGCCUUAUUUACCAAAGCACUUUCAGAAGCUGAAGCAGGAGUCGUAGGUAUAGAAUCCACGAAGUCCCAAAGAGCAGAAGAGAACCACGAGUUUGUACCGUCAUCUUGUUCGCCACUUUGAUUUUGAUUUGCUUCGGUAGAAUGAUUGAAAGAAUUACUAUAAUGUACCACACCUAAACAUAUGAAAACUUGGUAAAUCAGAAAACAAUCUUAACAUUAUGUGAUUAGAAGAAGAGCUCUUCAAGCUGGCUCAAACUCCCCCCAUUUCCACUUGGGCACGAGAGUUCUUGCCGUGUGGAUGAUGACAUGGUCUUCCCAUACCAUCCAUCUGAUCAACAGGAGCUCUUCGAUAUUAGUGAAAAGAGAUUUUAAUGUUGUACAAAUAUAUGAGCAAUUAACUGAGAUUACAGAUACAUUCAAGCUGCGCAAAAAUGUCAUCAUUGACGUUUGCAAUUAAUUCAGUACCUGAAAUAGGUGAAGGAAUGACCCUCAGAUUUGCUUCCGUAGCAGAAAAAUGGCUGAAUCCUUGCUCAUGCAUCCACGGCUGACAAAUGACUUUAUUUAAAGGGGACUCGAGCACCUGGUAAUUCACAGAUUCAUUCACAAGAUUGUUGUUUAGACCAGAAUUCAAAUUUGGGUUUAUGAAUUCAUUCUCUAAAUUAUUCAUAUAUGGUCGAGAAAUCUGCUCCCAUUCAGUCUCUUGAAGGAACGUGGCUGCAUCUUGAUAAAGGUCAAGCUCACUCAACCCGUCAAACUGCAGCUCUUCCAUGAUGUCUGUUGCCUUAUCAAGAGUUUGAGAGGCUGGUUCCUGACCAAUUAGAUCAUCCAGUUCAAGAAAAUCUUCAAGGUCCUGUUCAGCUGUAUGAAGCUCUUGGCCAU
rnacentral:lncRNA from 1 species